rnacentral:rRNA from 1 species
CGCUGGCGGCGUGCUUAACACAUGCAAGUCGAACGGAAAGGCCCUGCUUUUGUGGGGUGCUCGAGUGGCGAACGGGUGAGUAACACGUGAGUAACCUGCCCUUGACUUUGGGAUAACUUCAGGAAACUGGGGCUAAUACCGGAUAGGAGCUCCUGCUGCAUGGUGGGGGUUGGAAAGUUUCGGCGGUUGGGGAUGGACUCGCGGCUUAUCAGCUUGUUGGUGGGGUAGUGGCUUACCAAGGCUUUGACGGGUAGCCGGCCUGAGAGGGUGACCGGCCACAUUGGGACUGAGAUACGGCCCAGACUCCUACGGGAGGCAGCAGUGGGGAAUAUUGCACAAUGGGCGGAAGCCUGAUGCAGCAACGCCGCGUGCGGGAUGACGGCCUUCGGGUUGUAAACCGCUUUCGCCUGUGACGAAGCGUGAGUGACGGUAAUGGGUAAAGAAGCACCGGCUAACUACGUGCCAGCAGCCGCGGUGAUACGUAGGGUGCGAGCGUUGUCCGGAUUUAUUGGGCGUAAAGGGCUCGUAGGUGGUUGAUCGCGUCGGAAGUGUAAUCUUGGGGCUUAACCCUGAGCGUGCUUUCGAUACGGGUUGACUUGAGGAAGGUAGGGGAGAAUGGAAUUCCUGGUGGAGCGGUGGAAUGCGCAGAUAUCAGGAGGAACACCAGUGGCGAAGGCGGUUCUCUGGGCCUUUCCUGACGCUGAGGAGCGAAAGCGUGGGGAGCGAACAGGCUUAGAUACCCUGGUAGUCCACGCUGUAAACGGUGGGUACUAGGUGUGGGGUCCAUUCCACGGGUUCCGUGCCGUAGCUAACGCUUUAAGUACCCCGCCUGGGGAGUACGGCCGCAAGGCUAAAACUCAAAGGAAUUGACGGGGCCCCGCACAAGCGGCGGAGCAUGCGGAUUAAUUCGAUGCAACGCGUAGAACCUUACCUGGGUUUGACAUGGAUCGGGAGUGCUCAGAGAUGGGUGUGCCUCUUUUGGGGUCGGUUCACAGGUGGUGCAUGGCUGUCGUCAGCUCGUGUCGUGAGAUGUUGGGUUAAGUCCCGCAACGAGCGCAACCCUUGUUCACUGUUGCCAGCACGUUAUGGUGGGGACUCAGCGGAGACCGCCGGGGUCAACUCGGAGGAAGGUGGGGAUGACGUCAAGUCAUCAUGCCCCUUAUGUCCAGGGCUUCACGCAUGCUACAAUGGCUGGUACAGAGAGUGGCGAGCCUGUGAGGGUGAGCGAAUCUCGGAAAGCCGGUCUCAGUUCGGAUUGGGGUCUGCAACUCGACCUCAUGAAGUCGGAGUCGCUAGUAAUCGCAGAUCAGCAACGCUGCGGUGAAUACGUUCCCGGGGCUUGUACACACCGCCCGUCAAGUCAUGAAAGUUGGUAACACCCGAAGCCGGUGGCCUAACCGUUGUGGGGGAGCCGUCGAAGGUGGGACUGGUGA